AAAUACCAUGAAUUUUGAUCCCCCCAUUCCAAACUUUCUAGCGAGGAUCAAGAAAAAUAGUAUACGGAACGCGAGACGAAAGUGGAAGACCAGCCACUGCUUGAAGUUGACGCCCGAGGCAAAGCCAAGGGCGUAAUGCACGCGAACAUGAACUUCGACUUUUGUCUCUUGGUUGUGCCGUAAUAUAUUAUUUUCUAAGUAUCUCAAAAAUUAAAAUACCUUUUUUUAGAACGCCAUGUAUAUGACCCCCUGAUUGUGCAACUUUUUACUAACUUAACCGACUUUCCGACCAAUUUCUCAUGGUUUCGAAGAUUCCCAUGCAAUGGAUCCUUAUCUUGGACACCCAUGUGCCACAUGUGCAUAAAUUAAUGUUAACUUUAUUGGAUUCGGAUACCAUUUUUGUAAGGUAAAUAUUCCGUUUAACUCCCAAUAUACUAACUUGUGAAAUGUA